rnacentral:lncRNA from 1 species
AUGGCCGGUGUCCCUCUUUCUCCACUUCCUUCCUUCUUCCUUUCUCUUCCUCCCCUUUCUAAAUUUCAUCAAUUUUUCAUCCUCUCCUUCCUCCUCUUUCUCCCUCCUCCUUUCUCCCCCUCUUCUUUUUUCACCCAUUCUCCUCGUCCCCUUUCUCCUCAUCUUUCUCCACCCAUUCUCCUCCUCUCUUUUUUCCUUCUCUUUCUUUCCAUCCACUUCUCCUCCUCAUCCUUUUCCUCCAAACCGCCUAUAAACCAUUUUCCUAUAUGGCGAUCUCCUUCCCUAGCACAUGAGAGAGAGAGAAAGAGAGAGAGAGAGUUGGUUUAAAAACAACGAUUAUAUCGUUAUAAUGCUUUGGAAUAAAUAUUGUCCAGCAGCAAUAUAAUUUUAGCAUCUGAAGCAUGAGAUAAGAGCUCUAAUACCCAACACAAA